CGAAAAUAACUUAAGGGUAGAGUUUAAUCUUGCCAAGAUUAAGGUAAGGGUUCGAAUCCCUUUUUUCGCUG
rnacentral:tRNA from 1 species